rnacentral:rRNA from 1 species
UAUCGUAAUUGAAGAGGUUUGGAAAGACCCACCACAGAAGGUAAUAGUCCUGUAUGUUAAACGAGAAGACUUUAGAUAUGAUCCAGAGUACCACGGGACACGUGAAACCCUGUGGGAAGCAGGAGGGACCACCCUCCAAGGCUAAAUACUACCUAGUGACCGAUAGCGUAUAGUACCGUGAGGGAAAGGUGAAAAGAACCCCGGGAGGGGAGUGAAAUAGAACCUGAAACCCUGCACUUACAAGCUGUGGAAGCACAUUUCUUGUGUGACCGCGUACUUUUUGUAGAACGGGCCAACGAGUUACGUUAAGUAGCAAGGUUAAGCACUUAAGGUGUGGAGCCGUAGCGAAAGCGAGUUUUAACUGAGCGUUCAGUUACUUGACGUAGACCCGAAACCGGGCGACCUACCCAUGAGCAGGAUGAAGCGAAAGUAAAAUUUCGUGGAGGUCCGAACCCACGAGCGUUGAAAAGCUCGGGGAUGACUUGUGGGUAGCGGUGAAAUUCCAAUCGAGCCCGGAGAUAGCUGGUUCUCCCCGAAAUAGCUUUAGGGCUAGCCUCAAGGUGAGAGAUACGGAGGUAGAGCACUGAAUGUCCUAGGGGGUAUUGCACCUACCGAAGACUAUCAAACUCCGAAUGCCGUCAUCUUAUACUUGGGAGUCAGACUGUGGGUGAUAAGAUUCAUAGUCGAAAGGGCAACAGCCCAGAUCGUCAGCUAAGGUCCCUAAAUGUAAGUUAAGUGGUAAAGGAUGUGGGAUUGCACAGACAACCAGGAUGUUGGCUUAGAAGCAGCCACUCAUUCAAAGAGUGCGUAAUAGCUCACUGGUCGAGUGAUCCUGCGCCGAAGAUUUCCGGGGCUAAAACUUACUACCGAAGCUACGGCAUCAGUAAUGAUGGGUAGGGGAGCUUCCCAUACGGGUUGAAGCAUGACCGUAAGGACAUGUGGACAGUAUGGGAGUGAGAAUGUUGGCAUGAGUAGCGAGAUGUGGGUGAGAAUCCCACAGGCCGUAAACCCAAGGUUUCCAGGGGAAGGUUCGUCCGCCCUGGGUUAGUCGGGACCUAAGCUGAGGCCGAAAGGCGUAGGUGAUGGACAACAGGUUGAUAUUCCUGUACUACCGAUAACCGUUUGAGAGAAGGGAUGACACAGUAGGAUAAGCUAAGCACACUGUUGGUUAUGUGUGCCCAAGCAUUGAGGCAGUCAAAGUAGGCAAAUCCGCUUUGAUAAUGCUGGGAUGUGAUGGGGAGCGAAAUUUAGUAGCGAAGUAGCUGAUUUCACACUGUCAAGAAAAGUCUCUAUCGAGGUUAAAGGUACCCGUACCGCAAACCGACACAGGUGGGUGAGGAGAGUAUCCUAAGGCCAGCGAGAGAACUGUUGUUAAGGAACUCGGCAAAAUGACCCCGUAACUUAGGGAUAAGGGGUGCCACCAUCAGGUGGCCGCAGAGAAUAGGCCCAAGCGACUGUUUACCAAAAACAUAGGUUUCUGCUAAGUCGCAAGACGAUGUAUAGGAGCUGACGCCUGCCCGGUGCUGGAAGGUUAAGGGGAUCUGUUAGAGCAAUCGAAGCAGUGAACUUAAGCCCCAGUAAACGGCGGCCGUAACUAUAACGGUCCUAAGGUAGCGAAAUUCCUUGUCGGGUAAGUUCCGACCCGCACGAAAGGCGUAACGAUUUGGGCACUGUCUCAACAACAGACUCGGUGAAAUUGUAAUUCCGGUGAAGAUGCCGGAUACCUGCGACAGGACGGAAAGACCCCAUGGAGCUUUACUGUAGCUUGACAUUGGGUCUUGGUACUACAUGUACAGGAUAGGUGGGAGGCUUUGAAACCAGGACGCCAGUUUUGGCGGAGCCAUCCUUGGGAUACCACCCUUGUAGUACUGGGACUCUAACCAUAGGCCAUGAAUCUGGUCUUGGGACACUGUCAGGUGGGCAGUUUGACUGGGGCGGUCGCCUCCCAAAAGGUAACGGAGGCGCUCAAAGGUUCUCUCAGUACGGUCGGAAAUCGUACGUAGAGUGUAAAGGCAAAAGAGAGCUUGAUUGCAAGACAUACAGGUCGAGCAAGGAUGAAAAUCGGACUUAGUGAUCCGGUGGUUCUGCGUGGAAGGGCCAUCGCUCAACGGAUAAAAGCUACCCUGGGGAUAACAGGCUUAUCUCCCCCAAGAGUCCACAUCGACGGGGAGGUUUGGCACCUCGAUGUCGGCUCAUCACAUCCUGGGGCUGUAGUAGGUCCCAAGGGUUGGGCUGUUCGCCCAUUAAAGUGGUACGCGAGCUGGGUUCAGAACGUCGUGAGACAGUUCGGUCCCUAUCCGUCGCAGGCGUAGGAAAUUUGAGAAGACCUGUCCUUAGUACGAGAGGACCGGGAUGGACGUACCUCUGGUGUACCAGUUGUCCUGCCAAGGGCAUGGCUGGGUAGCUAUGUACGGAAUGGAUAAGCGCUGAAAGCAUCUAAGCGCGAAGCCAACUUCAAGAUAAGAUUUCCCACCGCAAGGGUAAGACCCCAGAAAGACUAUCUGGUUGAUAGGUCGAAGGUGUAAGUGCAGCAAUGUAUUUAGCUUAUCGAUACUAAUAGGUCGAGGACUUGACCAA